UACGUAGGUGACCAGCGUUGUCCGGAUUUACUGGGCGUAAAGAGCGCGCAGGCGGUCGCUCAAGUCGCGUGUGAAAGCCCCCGGCUCAACUGGGGAGGGUCACGCGAUACUGAUCGACUCGAAGGCAGGAGAGGGUAGUGGAAUUCCCGGUGUAGUGGUGAAAUGCGUAGAGAUCGGGAGGAACACCGGUGGCGAAGGCGGGUCUCUGGGCAAUUCCUGACGCUGAGGCGCGAAAGCGUGGGGAGCAAACGGG
rnacentral:rRNA from 1 species